ensembl:lncRNA
AGCAAAAAGGCUUUGAGCAGUCCCACAAUUGCCUUUCUCUCAUUUAUUUGUGCUAGAAUUAAGGUUUAUUUGUUUUCUGUUUUCUCCUUCUUCAGAGAUUAUUUCUCUUAGUUUAUCCAUUUAACAAAUUGUUUCUUCCUGUAUCAUAGAAGAAUGCCCCUGUAGGGCCUCCAUCACUGUCUUCUGGCUACAGACCUCCUCCUUUUGAGGGCAUUUUCUCUCCACUCAUUUUGCUGGGAGCUCCUAAAUAUCUCUCAAGGUCUUUCUGCUGGAAUUGAGUUCUACAUCUUACUCAAUUGGUUA